rnacentral:rRNA from 1 species
CCUACGGGAGGCAGCAGUGGGGAAUAUUGGGCAAUGGAGGAAACUCUGACCCAGCGACGCCGCGUGCGGGAUGAAGGCCUUCGGGUUGUAAACCGCUUUCAGUAGGGAAGAAGCGAAAGUGACGGUACCUACGGAAGAAGCACCGGCUAACUAUGUGCCAGCAGCCGCGGUAAUACAUAGGGUGCAAGCGUUGUCCGGAAUUAUUGGGCGUAAAGAGCUCGUAGGUGGUUCGUCACGUCGGAUGUGAAAAUCUGGGGCUCAACCCCAGACCUGCAUUCGAUACGGGCGAUCUAGAGUGUGGUAGGGGAGACUGGAAUUCCUGGUGUAGCGGUGGAAUGCGCAGAUAUCAGGAGGAACACCAAUGGCGAAGGCAGGUCUCUGGGCCAUUACUGACACUGAGGAGCGAAAGCGUGGGGAGCGAACAGGAUUAGAUACCCUGGUAGUCCACGCCGUAAACGGUGGGCACUAGUUGUGGGAACCUUCCACGGUUUCUGCGACGCAGCUAACGCAUUAAGUGCCCCGCCUGGGGAGUACGAUCGCAAGNUUAAACUCAAAGGAAUUGACGGCNGAGAGNGCGAGACGACGACGAGGAGAG